rnacentral:sRNA from 1 species
UGAUGUAUAUUGUUUUGUUGCCAAUAAA